rnacentral:rRNA from 1 species
CGUGCAGGCGGCUCGCUAAGUCUGAUGUGAAAGCCCCGGGCUCAACCCGGGAAGUGCAUUGGAAACUGGCGAACUUGAGUACGGGAGAGGGAAGUGGAAUUCCGAGUGUAGGGGUGAAAUCCGUAGAUAUUCGGAGGAACACCAGUGGCGAAGGCGGCUUCCUGGACCGAUACUGACGCUGAGACGCGAAAGCGUGGGGAGGCAAACAA